rnacentral:rRNA from 1 species
GAGUUUGAUUCUGGCUCACAACGAACGCUGGCGGCAGGCCUAACACAUGCAAGUCGAGCGCUCUCUUCGGAGGGAGCGGCGGACGGGUGAGUAACGCGUGGGAAUAUGCCCUUGGGUGCGGAACAACCGCUGGAAACGGCGGCUAAUACCGCAUGAUGUCUACGGACCAAAGAUUUAUCGCCCAAGGAUUGGCCCGCGUCGGAUUAGGUAGUUGGUGAGGUCAAAGCUCACCAAGCCGACGAUCCGUACCUGGUUUGAGAGGAUGAUCAGGCACACUGGGACUGAGACACGGCCCAGACUCCUACGGGAGGCAGCAGUGGGGAAUCUUGGACAAUGGGGGAAACCCUGAUCCAGCCAUGCCGCGUGAGCGAUGACGGCCUUAGGGUUGUAAAGCUCUUUCACCGGUGACGAUAAUGACGGUAGCCGGAGAAGAAGCCCCGGCUAACUCCGUGCCAGCAGCCGCGGUAAUACGGAGGGGGCUAGCGUUGUUCGGAAUUACUGGGCGUAAAGCGCGCGUAGGCGGACUGUUAAGUCGGGGGUGAAAUCCCGGGGCUCAACCCCGGAACUGCCUUCGAUACUGGCGGU